AUUGAACGCUGGCGGCAUGCCUUACACAUGCAAGUCGAACGGCAGCACGGGAGCAAUCCUGGUGGCGAGUGGCGAACGGGUGAGUAAUAUAUCGGAACGUGCCCAGUCGUGGGGGAUAACGUAGCGAAAGCUACGCUAAUACCGCAUACGAUCUGUGGAUGAAAGCGGGGGACCGUAAGGCCUCGCGCGAUUGGAGCGGCCGAUGUCAGAUUAGGUGGUUGGUGAGGUAAAGGCUCACCAAGCCGACGAUCUGUAGCUGGUCUGAGAGGACGACCUGCCACACUGGGGCUGAGACACGGCACAGACUCCUACGGGAGGCAUCAGUGGGGAAUUUUGGACAAUGGGCGCAAGCCUGAUCCAGCAAUGCAGCGUGCAGGAUGAAGGCCUUCGGGUUGUAAACUGAUUUUGUGCGGAGCGAAACGGCUUCCACUUAUACUGGGGGCUAAUGACGGUACCGUAAGAAUAAGCACCGGCUAACUACGUGCCAGCCGCCGCCGUAACAC
rnacentral:rRNA from 1 species